GGCUGGUCCGAUGGUAGUGGGUUAUCAGAACUUAUUAACAUUUGUGUCACUAAAAUUGGUAUACAACCUCCCACUGCUAUAUUUGACUGGCUAAAA
ensembl:misc_RNA Y_RNA Y RNA